rnacentral:lncRNA from 1 species
GCUCUCAUCACUAAGUAGUUUAUUUAGCAGAGUCUGACGUCCUUGGAUAUUUAUAUUUUAGGGAAUAAGGGGAAAAACCAUCAAAGCGUUCUUGCAGCCUAACUGCCAGAGAGGGUACUGAAGUUGAGAAUUACAGACAUGGAGCUACGGAAUCUGAGGCCAAUUCUAGUGUCUCCGAAGAUUAACUAGAUGGAAGUUGCAAAGAGCUUUGAAAGAACAACAUA